UGGGGAAUUUUGCGCAAUGGGGGAAACCCUGACGCAGCAACGCCGCGUGGAGGAUGAAGUCCCUUGGGAUGUAAACUCCUUUCGACCCGGACGAUACUGACGGUACCGGGUGAGGAAGCACCGGCUAACUCCGUGCCAGCAGCCGCGGUAAUACGGGGGGUGCGAGCGUUGUCCGGAAUCACUGGGCGUAAAGGGCGCGUAGGUGGUUUGAUAAGGGUGUGGUGAAAGUCCGGGGCUCAACCCCGGAUCUGCCGUGCCGACUGUCAAACUCGAGGGCUGUAGAGGCAGACGGAAUUCCGGGUGUAGCGGUGGAAUGCGUAGAGAUCCGGAGGAAGACCGGUGGCGAAGGCGGUCUGCUGGGCAGUUUCUGACACUGAUGCGCGACAGCGUGGGGAGCAAACAGGAUUAGAUACCCUGGUAGUCCACGCCGUAAACGAUGGGUACUAGGUGCCUGGGGGAGCGACCCUCUGGGUGCCGGCGCUAACGCAGGAAGUACCCCGCCUGGGGAGUACGACCGCAAGGUUGC
rnacentral:rRNA from 1 species